UAGGGAAUCUUCGGCAAUGGACGAAAGUCUGACCGAGCAACGCCGCGUGAGUGAAGAAGGUUUUCGGAUCGUAAAACUCUGUUGGUAGAGAAGAACGUUGGCGAGAGUGGAAAGCUCAUCAAGUGACGGUAACUACCCAGAAAGGGACGGCUAACUACGUGCCCG
rnacentral:rRNA from 1 species